CCUGGGUGACAGAGCGAGACUUCGUCUCAAAAAAAAAAAAAAAAAAGAAGAAAGAAGGAAGCUGAGGUUCAGACAGGCCAAGUCCCUACUACAGGCUGCGCAAUCUAAAAAGGUCAUGAACUCUGAGAGUUUGAGCUGUGCCUCUAAAAGCUGUAUCAAAAGCACCUUGCACUGUUGAAGCAGAUAGUGUCUUGCAAUGUUGCCCAGGCUGGAGUGCAGUGGUUCCCCUCCUGUUGUGAAUGU